CAGUCGCCACGGUAAUACGGAGGGGGCUAGCGUUGUUCGGAAUUACUGGGCGUAAAGCGCACGUAGGCGGCUUGGUAAGUUAGAGGUGAAAGCCUGGAGCUCAACUCCAGAAUUGCCUUUAAGACUGCCGAGCUAGCAGGUGAGAGAGGUAAGUGGAAUUUCGAGUGUAGGGGUGAAAUUCGUAGAUAUUCGGAAGAACACCAGUGGCGAAGGCGGCUCACUGGCUCAUUCUAGACGCUGAGGUGCGAAAGCGUGGGGAGCAAACAGGAUUAGAGACCCCUGUAGUCCCUGUCUCUUAUAC
rnacentral:rRNA from 1 species